rnacentral:lncRNA from 1 species
GCGGCUGGAUGUAGUGUCCAUAGCAGAAGACAGCUUCUUGAGUGCUGCUGGACUCCUGGUAAUCCAGCAUAGUUUACUUCUGUCUCUUUCCAGUUGAUUACAGAUCCGAUGUGUUAUAACUCAUGCUAACGUCUAUGCCAACACAGGGUUCCUCAAGGUCCAGAGGAACCUCAGUGUGGUCUGAAUGGGUAGUUGGUGACCAGACUGGAGCAGGCAGCCUAACUCCAUGGGAGAAUUCAGUUCUGCCUCUGUCUCCAUGCUCGGAAGCUUGGAUGCACAGCAGUGCUACCAGCUGACCCAGAUGUUGGGUUGUGAAGCCUUGGCUUGGCUUUCCUCGUUGAUUCUCUGGCUCCCUAGGAUGUCUCUCACUCUCCACAAGUCUUCUGUGCUUCUUCAUGGGGCUCCCCUAUCUGGCCUUUUCUGCAGGUCUUCAGUAAGCAAAUCUGGGGUUACCUGGAGUAGGUACCCCAACUUUGUGCUGAGGGACUUGUUUCAUCUCCAUAGCCAGUGCCCUCCAAGGCACAUACUAUGCCGCCAUCCUUGAUUCUGUUGUGGGGUAUUGGAGACAGAAUGGGGACCCUUUGUCUGCCCUCAGAGCUCAUGGAGUGAUGAUCCAGCCUGCUUUAACACCCCCAGCUCUCCAGACAGAGGUGGGGCCAAGGCCCCAGAAUGGAAGAGGUGUCACUGUUUAAACUGUAUAUGGUUCGAGGGAAAUGUGUGGGCAAGCAGUUGCUGAGAUCCACAGGGAGAAGGUGUAUCCAUGAAGUCUCCUGUGUUUUGUAUCUGGCUUCCUCAGUGC